rnacentral:misc_RNA from 1 species
GAUGAAGAACGUAGCGAAAUGCGAUAAGUAGUGUGAAUUGCAGAAUUCAGUGAAUCAUCGAAUCUUUGAACGCACAUUGCGCCCCAUGGUAUUCCGUGGGGCAUGCCUGUUCGAGCGUCAUUUACCCCCUCAAGCUCCGCUUGGUGUUGGGCGUCUGUCCCGCUUCGCGCGCGGACUCGCCCCAAAGGUAUUGGCAGCGGUCGUGCCGGCUUCUCGCGCAGCACAUUGCGCUUCUCGAGGCACCGGUGGGCCCGCGUCCAUCAAGCUCACCCCCCCAGUUUGACCUCGGAUCAGGUAGGGAUACCCGCUGAACUUAAGCAUAUCAAUAAGCGGAGA